AUUUCUUGUUCACGAAAUCACGUCGACGAAAGUAUCGAGGCCCGUCGAAACCAGCAGAAACGCACUGGGGAGAAACCAGUCGUUUCUUGUCCCCGAGGACCGGAUCAGGUGCUCCGCCGCCGGCUCCUUCCCGCGUGCGUCGAGCAGCAGCAGCUCCUUCCCGCGCGCAACGAGACCAGCAGCUCCUUCCCGCGUGCCCCCGACCUACUUCCCGCGCGCCCCCGGCCUACUUCCCGCGCUCAGCCGCCAGCUUCCCGCGAGCUCUCGCGCAGGCAGUCAAAUAGGAUCCCCAAUCUUCCCCAAUCUGGCGACCAUGAACCCACUCCGGCCGCCAUCGUCAAGCUCCAGGCAAGUUAGGGCAGGCAAUGGACGGGUAGGGAAGGGUACAGCAGGGCAAGGCAGGGGUGCUCCCGCAGCCGCCGUGGCUGGCCAAUUUGGUGUGGUUGCUGGUGCUGCCGUAGCUCCUACUGUUGAUCGAUCCAGCGAGGCAGCAGCUGCAUCUCCAACUCUUCCAAGUUUUGAAGCUAGUUAUUUACCUGCAUGGUGGACAAGUUCCUCUCCGAUGGGCUCAAAUGAAGGCAACAAAAACAAGAGAAGAACUGUCAGAAACUGUACUUUGGUACAGAAUAUGCAGGGACUUAAGGAGUUUAGUAUGAGUGCUGGAGCUUUGGCUGAGAGGGAGAAAGCACUGGAGUGUAUAUGAGGUUAGCCUUAUUUGCUGCAAAUAAUUAAGAUGGUGGUUUGCGAACUGUUGGCUUCUGGAGUACCUGCUUCAGCUUGCCGAGAGGAUAUGGAUACCUGCUGCAACCUGCUUCUGGACCGUGUGCUUAUCAUUUAGUUAUCAAUAAUAUAUAUGUAUGCAAGUCGCUUUCACUACAAAGCUAGCUGGACUGCCCAACAUAUGAUUCAGAACUUAUAUUUUCAGAACUAAUCAGUUGUGAUUCAGAACCUAGCUGUGAUUCAGAACCUAGCUGUGAUUCAGAACCAUACUCCUAUGUCUCAGUCUUAUAUAUGUUUCUGGUUUGGCAUGUUAACAAAUAUGAUUUUGCAAGCUACAAAGCAAGUAUGUUUCUCAGUCUUAUAUAUA